rnacentral:rRNA from 1 species
UACGUAGGGAGCAAGCGUUGUCCGGAAUCAUUGGGCGUAAAGCGCGCGUAGGCGGCCCGGUAAGUCCGUUGUGAAAGUCAAAGGCUCAACCUUUGAAUGCCGAUGGAUACUGCCGGGCUCGAGUCCGGAAGAGGCGAGUGGAAUUCCUGGUGUAGCGGUGGAAUGCGCAGAUAUCAGGAGGAACACCAAUAGCGAAGGCAGCUCGCUGGGACGGUACUGACGCUAAGGCGCGAAAGCGUGGGGAGCGAACGAGGA